rnacentral:tRNA from 1 species
GCCUCGAUGGUGAAAUGGGUAGACACAGCGGACUUAAAAUCCGCCGCUUGCCGAAAGGCGGCAUCCCGGUUCGAGCCCGGGUCGAGGCACCA